rnacentral:rRNA from 1 species
UUUCCGGUUGAUCCUGCCGGACCCGACUGCUAUCGGAUUGGGACUAAGCCAUGCGAGUCAACUCCGCAAGGGGUGGCGCACGGCUCAGUAACACGUAGUCAACCUACCCUGGGGGCGGGGAUAACCUCGGGAAACUGAGGCUAAACCCCGAUAGGUCAUGGCUCCUGGAAUGGGCCAUGGCUGAAAUCUAUAUGGCCCCAGGAUGGGACUGCGGCCGAUCAGGUUGUUGGUGGGGUAAUGGCCCACCAAGCCUAUAACCGGUGCGGGCUCUGAGAGGAGGAGCCCGGAGAUGGGCACUGAGACAAGGGCCCAGGUCCUAUGGGGCGCAGCAGGCGCGAAACCUCCGCAAUGGGCGAAAGCCCGACGGGGUCAGUCCGAGUGGUCCCCGCUGAGGGGACCUUUUGCCAGCUGUAAACAGGCUGGAGAAUAAGGGGUGGGCAAGUUUGGUGUCAGCCGCCGCGGUAAUACCAGCACCCCGAGUGGUCGGGACGAUUAUUGGGCCUAAAGCAUCCGUAGCCGGCUCAGUAAGUCCUCCGUUAAAUCCAACGGCUCAACCGUUGGGCUGCGGGGGAUACUGCUGGGCUAGGGGGCGGGAGAGGCGAGGGGUAUUCCCGGGGUAGGGGUAAAAUCCACUGAUCCCGGGAGGACCACCAGUGGCGAAGGCGCCUCGCUAGAACGCACCCGACGGUGAGGGAUGAAAGCUGGGGGAGCGAACCGGAUUAGAUACCCGGAUAGUCCCAGCCGUAAACGAUGUAGGCUCGGUGUUGGGCUGCCUUAGUGGUAGCCCAGUGCCGCAGGGAAGCCGUUAAGCCUACCGCCUGGGGAGUACGGCCGCAAGGCUGAAACUUAAAGGAAUUGGCGGGGGAGCACCACAAGGGGUGAAGCCUGCGGUUUAAUUGGAUUCAACGCCGGG